AAAUAAUAGACCUAAUAAUAAAAUUCUCAAAUAAUAUAUUUUUUUAAUUGUCUAAUUUUAUAAUAAUUAAAAUUCCUAUAUAGAACUCUUUUCCCAUACCGCAUUACAUAUUUAUUUGAUCUAAAGUUCCUUCACUAUUUUUUGUGAAAGAUGUCAAUGUUCAGAGACCUAAGUCUGCCUUGGAACAUGUUAGAUAAAAGUAUCAUGAGAAUCAUGUUUGGUUUACUGGAUUCAGUUGGGUUAUGCAAACAACAUCCUUUUGUUAAGUGUCAAAGUAGAAUUCACUAUUCACAUUAUUCAAGAGAUUAAGAUGUUAAAAACCAUACGUAUAGCAAUAAGAUGAUAGACAUUAUACCUCCAUCAUUGAAGAGGAGCUUUA
rnacentral:misc_RNA from 1 species